AUUGAACGCUGGCGGCAUGCCUUACACAUGCAAGUCGAACGGUAACGCGGGGCAACCUGGCGACGAGUGGCGAACGGGUGAGUAACGCAUCGGAACGUGCUCAAUCGUGGGGGAUAGCCCGGCGUAACCCGGAUUAAUACCGCAUACGACCCACGGGUGAAAGAAGGGACUCGCAAGACCUUGCGCUAAUGGAGCGGCCGAUGUCAGAUUAGGUUGUUGGUGGGGUAAAAGCCUACCAAGCCGACGAUCUGUAGCUGGUCUGAGAGGACGACCAGCCACACUGGGACUGAGACACGGCCCAGACUCCUACGGGAGGCAGCAGUGGGGAAUUUUGGACAAUGGGCGAAAGCCUGAUCCAGCCGUGCCGCGUGCGGGAUGAAGGCCUUCGGGUUGUAAACCGCUUUUGUUAGGGAAGAAAUCUUUUGAGCUAAUACCUCGGAAGGAUGACGGUACCUAAAGAAUAAGCACCGGCUAACUACGUGCCAGCAGCCGCAGUAA
rnacentral:rRNA from 1 species